rnacentral:miRNA from 1 species
CAGGACUGUCUUAGAAAGCCAGGC